UACGUAGGGGGCUAGCGUUGUCCGGAUUUAUUGGGCGUAAAGAGCGUGUAGGCGGCCAUGUAGGUCCGGUGUGAAAACUCGAGGCUUAACCUCGAGAUGUCAUCGGAAACCAUUUGGCUAGAGUCCGGAAGAGGAGAGUGGAAUUCCUGGUGUAGCGGUGAAAUGCGCAGAUAUCAGGAAGAACACCAGUGGCGAAGGCGGCUCACUGGCCCGAUACUGACGCUGAGGCACGAAAGCGUGGGGAGCAAACAGG
rnacentral:rRNA from 1 species